GGCCGACUGGUGUAGUGGUUAUCACGUCUCGUUCACAUUAGUUGAAUACAAUACGGAUUAACUUCCCCGAGAAGGUGCCAGGUUCGAUCCCUGGGUCGGUCA